CCCAACCUAGCUGCCUCCCUGGAGCUGUUUCCUGCUGCUCUCCCUGCCUUGCCCUCUCAACCCCACUGGGAUCCAACCAGCCUGGGCCCUUCUCAUCUCCACUGCCCCCUCAAGGGAACGAAAGCCUCAGAGGAGGGAUGCCACACCCUUCUCCAGCCUCCACUGAGCCACCCAAGCAACCAGCUAUACUAAGAUAUUAGAAGAUGACUGGGAUACAAUUAUUGGUUGAGUAAAGAUAUUUGAUGCUAACACGAGAAGGGCAGCAAGGAUGAAAAAACAGCGGAGAAAUUAAUAAUAACGAUAAGCAACGAGAGGUUUCAUUUCUUUGGCUGGUACAUAAACCUCAUGAAGGACUGUCUUGUUCCAACCAUGAAGGCCACAACUGAAGAUCAUGCUAAAUAGGAGCCAGGCAUGAUGACAGAUAAUUAAGGUCUUCUCAUGAUCUGGGAGAAGAGCUUCUGCCAGGUUCUGUCAGGUUUACUGAGCCCAUUCUCCCCACGGACGAUCCUGCCUGGAACCCUGGGCGGAUGGAUUGGCCACCCACAUGACUGGCGGCUCCAUCACGGAGAUGGCAGGGGUGGUAGGGAUUGGGGUCCGGCUGGCCCCUGGAAGUUCCAGGAUGCCACGUGCAAGUGUGUGGGGCAUCCUGGAGAGACGCCCGAGGCUGAGAGGCUGUUUGAAGACUCCUGGUUGGGAGUCUACUCGUGUGUUGCUGCGCACCGCGGCAACACACAAGCAACCAAAUGGGGUUAACAGAGUGCUUGCUCCAUUAACCUAAUUUAAGGGAAGGGUGUUUUAGGCAGGCUAGCUGCCUUGGGAGCACCAGGCUCACCU